rnacentral:rRNA from 1 species
UACGUAGGGGGCAAGCGUUGUCCGGAUUUAUUGGGCGUAAAGAGCGUGUAGGCGGCCAGAUAGGUCCGUUGUGAAAACUGGAGGCUUAACCUCCAGCUGUCGAUGGAAACCAUCUGGCUAGAGUCCGGAAGAGGAGAGUGGAAUUCCUGGUGUAGCGGUGAAAUGCGCAGAUAUCAGGAAGAACACCUAUGGCGAAGGCAGCUCUCUGGGACGGUACUGACGCUGAGACGCGAAAGCGUGGGGAGCGAACAGG